rnacentral:tRNA from 1 species
GCGGCCAUCGUAUAAUGGUAUUACCUCAGCCUUUGAAGUUGAUGACGUGGGUUCGAUUCCCGCUGGCCGCGCCA